UACGUAGGGAGCGAGCGUUGUCCGGAUUUAUUGGGUGUAAAGGGUGCGUAGGCGGCUAUGUAAGUCAGACGUGUAAUGCAGGGGCUUAACCUCUGAACUGCGUUUGAAACUGUGUAGCUUGAGUGGAGUAGAGGCAGAUGGAAUUUCCAGUGUAGCGGUGAAAUGCGUAGAUAUUGGAAGGAACACCAGUGGCGAAGGCGAUCUGCUGGGCUCUAACUGACGCUGAGGCACGAAAGCAUGGGGAGCAAACAGG
rnacentral:rRNA from 1 species